UACCAUGCAGUCGAACGGUGAAGCCCAGCUUGCUGGGUGGAUCAGUGGCGAACGGGUGAGUAACACGUGAGCAAUCUGCCCCUGACUCUGGGAUAAGCGCUGGAAACGGCGUCUAAUACUGGAUAUGAACCGUGGAGGCAUCUUCAACGGUUGGAAAGAUUUUUUGGUCAGGGAUGAGCUCGCGGCCUAUCAGCUUGUUGGUGAGGUAAUGGCUCACCAAGGCGUCGACGGGUAGCCGGCCUGAGAGGGUGACCGGCCACACUGGGACUGAGACACGGCCCAGACUCCUACGGGAGGCAGCAGUGGGGAAUAUUGCACAAUGGGCGCAAGCCUGAUGCAGCAACGCCGCGUGAGGGAUGACGGCCUUCGGGUUGUAAACCUCUUUUAGCAGGGAAGAAGCGAAAGUGACGGUACCUGCAGAAAAAGCGCCGGCUAACUACGUGCCAGCAGCCGCGGUAAUACGUAGGGCGCAAGCGUUAUCCGGAAUUAUUGGGCGUAAAGAGCUCGUAGGCGGUUUGUCGCGUCUGCUGUGAAAUCCCGAGGCUCAACCUCGGGUCUGCAGUGGGUACGGGCAGACUAGAGUGCGGUAGGGGAGAUUGGAAUUCCUGGUGUAGCGGUGGAAUGCGCAGAUAUCAGGAGGAACACCGAUGGCGAAGGCAGAUCUCUGGGCCGUAACUGACGCUGAGGAGCGAAAGGGUGGGGAGCAAACAGGCUUAGAUACCCUGGUAGUCCACCCCGU
rnacentral:rRNA from 1 species